rnacentral:rRNA from 1 species
AUUGAACGCUGGCGGCAGGCCUAACACAUGCAAGUCGAACGAGUGGCGGACGGGUGAGUAAUGUCUGGGAAACUGCCCGAUGGAGGGGGAUAACUACUGGAAACGGUAGCUAAUACCGCAUACCAUCGGAUGUGCCCAGAUGGGAUUAGCUAGUAGGUGGGGUAACUGCUCACCUAGGCGACGCUCCCUCGCUGGUCUGAGAGGAUGACCAGCCACACUGGAACUGAGACACGGUCCAUACUCCGACGGGAGGCAGCAGGUGGGAAUAUUGCACAAUUGGCGCAAGCCUGAUGCAGCCAUGCCGCGGGUAUGAAGAAGGCUUUCGUGUUGUAAAGUACUUUCAGCGAGGAGGCGUUACUCGCAGAAGAAGCACCGGCUAACUCCGUGCCAGCAGCCGCGGUAAUUC